CCUUUUCCUUGCCUCGGCUCCCGCACACCCCCGGCGCGCACUCGCUCCUUUCCGGCUGGAGCCGGCGGAUCCGCCACAGCCGAGCUGGCUGAGCGAAGAACCCAGGAAAAGGGCUCCGGGCUUAGGAGGAGGCUCAAGCCGCCUGUCCUCCCUGAGCUGCCUUAGGGGCUUACCCCGCAGAGGCUGCACUGGAGCCUCGGCUCUGGCCCGACCCCAGCCGUCUGUCUGCGCAGGUGGCUGAGGACACGGCCCAGGCGGCUGUGCAGUGCCAUAGAAAAGGAGAAUGUGGGCUGGAGUUCAAAGAGGAAGAAUGAUUGGCACCUUCUGGGCAUUUCCAAUUACUGUAGAUCCUCAGGCACUAAAAAUGUGAUGAACUAACCUACUGUAUCAUGAGGUCAUGUGAAUUAAUCCCUGCAACUUGAAGAUGAUACAGAGUGUCCCAAGAGAAUUGCAAACCAUCAGAAUCAGAAGAGAUCUGGCAGGGAGAGAAACUGAAGCCAGAGAGAAACAACUUCUUCAAGGUAACACAGCUGAGAAACGUGUCAGAACUAAAAUUUGAACCUAUAUCUUCUGACUCCAAACCUAAUGCUCUUUCCAUCACACCCUCCCUAUGCACAAAACUAGCACUAUUUAUCUCAGAUGUAAAUAAAAAUU